UACGAAGGGGGCUAGCGUUGUUCGGAAUUACUGGGCGUAAAGCGCGCGCAGGCGGCUAUCCAAGUCAGUGGUGAAAGCCCGGAGCUCAACUCCGGAACUGCCAUUGAAACUGUUUAGCUUGAGGACGAGAGAGGUGAGUGGAAUUCCCAGUGUAGAGGUGAAAUUCGUAGAUAUUGGGAAGAACACCGGUGGCGAAGGCGGCUCUCUGGGCAGUAACUGACGCUGAGGAGCGAAAGCGUGGGGAGCGAACAGG
rnacentral:rRNA from 1 species